rnacentral:misc_RNA from 1 species
ACUUUCUCUUCUCCAUCAACAAUGCCCUGAUCAAGUGUGGCUUGUUUUUCUAGCAGAAACACUCCCUCAAUAAGCUAAAAAAUGUUGUCGUUUUUGCUCUCUCGCGCUUCACGCAACACCACCACUAGAAGGUUACUCAGUUCCUCUCUCUCCUCUUCGCUUUCUCUUUUCAACGACACAGUCAUCGUCUCUCCAAGUCGCCCAUCAGAACCAAACCCUAAGACUAACCAGAUCAUCCGUACACUUUACCCAUUUACUCAAUCUUACUACUGGAGGAAUUUCGAAUUUUCCCGCAACUAUCUGAACUCUAAUUACUCCAAUUUGAGGUUUGUUGGAGGAAUUUCCACUUUGUCGAGCCCGAAGAGCGAGGAUAAUCGGGAGAAUGGAGGGUUGUCGAAAGAAGGAGAGGUGUCUUGGAUUGAUUUGUACUUGCCGAGACUGGUUCGCCCUUAUGCACGGCUUGCUCGACUUGAUAAGCCGAUAGGAACUUGGCUGCUUGCUUGGCCUUGUCGAUUACGUUGGCAGCAACCCCAGGGCACCUUCCUGAUUUUAAGAUGAUGACUUUAUUUGGUUGCGGGGCUUUGCUUUUAAGGGGUGCUGGAUGUACCAUAAAUGAUCUCCUUGAUAGAGAUAUUGAUACCAAGGUGGAGCGUACGAAGUUGAGACCAGUUGCAAGUGGUCUUUUGUCACCAUUUCAAGGGCUUUGUUUUCUUGGUUUUCAAUUGCUCUUGGGUCUUGGAAUUCUCCUUCAACUAAAUAAUUAUAGCCGCAUUUUGGGAGCUUCAUCCUUGUUGCUAGUCUUCUCCUAUCCCCUCAUGAAGAGAUUGACAUUUUGGCCUCAAGCCUAUCUAGGUUUGACAUUUAACUGGGGAGCUUUGUUAGGUUGG